rnacentral:rRNA from 1 species
CGACGGUGAGGGGUGAAAGCUGGGGGAGCAAACCGGAUUAGAUACCCGGGUAGUCCCAGCUGUAAACUAUGCAAACUCAGUGAUGCAUUGGCUUGUGGCCAAUGCAGUGCUGCAGGGAAGCCGUUAAGUUUGCCGCCUGGGAAGUACGUACGCAAGUAUGAAACUUAAAGGAAUUGGCGGGGGAGCACCACAAGGGGUGAAGCCUGCGGUUCAAUUGGAGUCAACGCCAGAAAUCUUACCCGGAGAGACAGCAGAAUGAAGGUCAAGCUGAAGACUUUACCAGACAAGCUGAGAGGUGGUGCAUGGCCGUCGCCAGCUCGUGCCGUGAGAUGUCCUGUUAAGUCAGGUAACGAGCGAGAUCCCUGCCUCUAGUUGCCACCAUUACUCUCAGGAGUAGUGGGGCGAAUUAGCGGGACCGCCGCAGUUAAUGCGGAGGAAGGAAGGGGCCACGGCAGGUCAGUAUGCCCCGAAACUCUGGGGCCACACGCGGGCUGCAAUGGUAGCGACAAUUGGUUUCGAAUCCGAAAGGAUGAGGUAAUCCACAAACGCUACCACAGUUAUGACUGAGGGCUGCAACUCGCCCUCACGAAUAUGGAAUCCCUAGUAACUGCGUGUCAUUAUCGCGCGGUGAAUACGUCCCUGCUCCUUGCACACACCGCCCC